rnacentral:rRNA from 1 species
GAUGAACGCUGGCGGCGUGCCUAAUACAUGCAAGUCGAGCGAACAGACGAUGAUCUUGCUCCUCUGACGUUAGCGGCGGACGGGUGAGUAACACGUGGAUAACCUACCUAUAAGACUGGGAUAACUUCGGGAAACCGGAGCUAAUACCGGAUAAUAUAUUGAACCGCAUGGUUCAAUAGUGAAAGACGGUUUUGCUGUCACUUAUAGAUGGAUCCGCGCCGCAUUAGCUAGUUGGUAAGGUAACGGCUUACCAAGGCGACGAUGCGUAGCCGACCUGAGAGGGUGAUCGGCCACACUGGAACUGAGACACGGUCCAGACUCCUACGGGAGGCAGCAGUAGGGAAUCUUCCGCAAUGGGCGAAAGCCUGACGGAGCAACGCCGCGUGAGUGAUGAAGGUCUUCGGAUCGUAAAACUCUGUUAUUAGGGAAGAACAAAUGUGUAAGUAACUAUGCACGUCUUGACGGUACCUAAUCAGAAAGCCACGGCUAACUACGUG